CGAGGCCUGUGAUGAUCUAUAUAUUUGCCUACAUUGUCUGAUAUCCCUAGCUGAAGAGUGUUUUUGUACUAAGUCUGAGGUCUCU